UACGGGGGGGGCCAGCGUUGUUCGGAAUUACUGGGCGUAAAGGGCUCGUAGGCGGCCAACUAAGUCGGAUGUGAAAUCCCCAGGCUCAACCUGGGAACUGCCUUUGAUACUGAGGAUCUUGAGUUCGGGAGAGGUGAGUGGAACUGCGAGUGUAGAGGUGAAAUUCGUAGAUAUUCGCAAGAACACCAGUGGCGAAGGCGGCUCACUGGCCCGAUACUGACGCUGAGGCACGAAAGCGUGGGGAGCAAACAGG
rnacentral:rRNA from 1 species